rnacentral:rRNA from 1 species
ACGAACGCUGGCGGCGUGCCUAAUACAUGCAAGUAGAACGCUGAAGAGAGGAGCUUGCUCUUCUUGGAUGAGUUGCGAACGGGUGAGUAACGCGUAGGUAACCUGCCUUGUAGCGGGGGAUAACUAUUGGAAACGAUAGCUAAUACCGCAUAACAAUGGAUGACACAUGUCAUUUAUUUGAAAGGGGCAAUUGCUCCACUACAAGAUGGACCUGCGUUGUAUUAGCUAGUAGGUGAGGUAACGGCUCACCUAGGCGACGAUACAUAGCCGACCUGAGAGGGUGAUCGGCCACACUGGGACUGAGACACGGCCCAGACUCCUACGGGAGGCAGCAGUAGGGAAUCUUCGGCAAUGGGGGCAACCCUGACCGAGCAACGCCGCGUGAGUGAAGAAGGUUUUCGGAUCGUAAAGCUCUGUUGUAAGUCAAGAACGAGUGUGAGAGUGGAAAGUUCACACUGUGACGGUAGCUUACCAGAAAGGGACGGCUAACUACGUGCCAGCAGCCGCGGUAAUACGUAGGUCCCGAGCGUUGUCCGGAUUUAUUGGGCGUAAAGCGAGCGCAGGCGGUUUGAUAAGUCUGAAGUUAAAGGCUGUGGCUCAACCAUAGUUCGCUUUGGAAACUGUCAAACUUGAGUGCAGAAGGGGAGAGUGGAAUUCCAUGUGUAGCGGUGAAAUGCGUAGAUAUAUGGAGGAACACCGGUGGCGAAAGCGGCUCUCUGGUCUGUAACUGACGCUGAGGCUCGAAAGCGUGGGGAGCGAACAGGAUUAGAUACCCUGGUAGUCCACGCCGUAAACGAUGAGUGCUAGGUGUUGGAUCCUUUCCGGGAUUCAGUGCCGCAGCUAACGCAUUAAGCACUCCGCCUGGGGAGUACGACCGCAAGGUUGAAACUCAAAGGAAUUGACGGGGGCCCGCACAAGCGGUGGAGCAUGUGGUUUAAUUCGAAGCAACGCGAAGAACCUUACCAGGUUUUGACAUCCCGAUGCUAUUUCUAGAGAUAGAAAGUUACUUCGGUACAUCGGUGACAGGUGGUGCAUGGUUGUCGUCAGCUCGUGUCGUGAGAUGUUGGGUUAAGUCCCGCAACGAGCGCAACCCCUAUUGUUAGUUGCCAUCAUUCAGUUGGGCACUCUAGCGAGACUGCCGGUAAUAAACCGGAGGAAGGUGGGGAUGACGUCAAAUCAUCAUGCCCCUUAUGACCUGGGCUACACACGUGCUACAAUGGUUGGUACAACGAGUUGCGAGUCGGUGACGGCAAGCUAAUCUCUUAAAGCCAAUCUCAGUUCGGAUUGUAGGCUGCAACUCGCCUACAUGAAGUCGGAAUCGCUAGUAAUCGCGGAUCAGCACGCCGCGGUGAAUACGUUCCCGGGCCUUGUACACACCGCCCGUCACACCACGAGAGUUUGUAACACCCGAAGUCGGUGAGGUAACCUUUUGGAGCCAGCCGCCUAAGGUGGGAUAGAUGAUUGGGGUG